GCUAUCAUAGCUCAAAGGUAGAGCAACGGUCAUCCAAUCCGCCGUAGGUUUUCGGUUCGAGUCCGAACGGUAGCU
rnacentral:tRNA from 1 species